rnacentral:rRNA from 1 species
UAACACGUGGGGAUCUACCUCUUUGUGGGGAACAACACGCUGAAAGGCGUGCUAAUACCGCAUAAGCUCAGAAAUGAGGAAAGCAGAAAUGCGCAGAGAGAGGAACCUGCGGCUGAUUAGCUAGUUGGUGGGGUAAAGGCUUACCAAGGCGAUGAUCAGUAGCUGGUCUGAGAGGACAGCCAGCCACACUGGGACUGCGAUACGGCCCAG